rnacentral:ncRNA from 1 species
GAAAAUGCAAUGAAGAGAAGAGUAAUAAAGAAGAUUGUAUAAAAGAGAGCUGGGGUUGGUGAAAGCCAGAUACAUGAGACUUUAUGAAGAUGGACUUGGAGCAGACUUUUUGAGAAUUUUAAUUUUAGAAAAGUACGGUGGCAACCGUUAUAUUGCAGAGUAAUAAAAUAAGUUAAACUUAGGAGUUACUUAGUGAGAUAUUUAUGGCGACAUAAAUAUGAAAUAGAGUGGUAUCGCGUAAUUAACGCCUCUAUG